rnacentral:lncRNA from 10 species
UAGUGUUAGCACUCAUUACAGGUGAUCCUCAAGCAAGAAAAAAUUUCUCAGGUUGGGAGACAUCACAGAGAGAGAGGAAGUAGCAGGAUUUCUGAGGAAUAUUAACUGAAGAGCACCAUUUCAGGUGGUUCCACGUUCGCAUGUCCCCUCCUGUACCACCUACCCGUGAAAAAUCUUUGAGAUAUUCCACAAGCCUCGUGAAUAUUCUACAACCUAGAAUAUGACACAUCAGAGGGGUGCUGGCAACACACACACUACUCCAUGCAUCCCUGAGCCUUACAGUGAUCUCGGGGGGGAGGCUGGGAGGCGGGCUUCUGAGUUGAUGUGGGCAUGAGAAUUCUAACUUUCAAACAUAACAGUUAUUUUCCAAUCUGAUGUUGCCCUGAGUAGCCUGGUAA